GGCCUCGUGGCCUAAUGGCUAAGGCGUCUGACUUCGAAUCAGAAGAUUGGGGGUUCGAGUCCCUUCGGGGUCG
rnacentral:tRNA from 1 species